rnacentral:rRNA from 1 species
CCUACGGGAGGCAGCAGUGAGGAAUAUUGGUCAAUGGACGGAAGUCUGAACCAGCCAUGCCGCGUGAAGGAAGAAGGCUUUCGGGUUGUAAACUUCUUUUGUCAGGGAAGAGUAGAAGACGGUACCUGACGAAUAAGCCACGGCUAACUACGUGCCAGCAGCCGCGGUAAUACGUAGGUGGCAAGCGUUGUCCGGAUUUACUGGGUGUAAAGGGCGUGUAGCCGGGUUGACAAGUCAGAUGUGAAAUCCUGCGGCUUAACCGCAGAACUGCAUGUGAAACUGUUGAUCUUGAGUACUGGAGAGGCAGAUGGAAUUCCUAGUGUAGCGGUGAAAUGCGUAGAUAUUAGGAGGAACACCAGUGGCGAAGGCGGUCUGCUGGACAGCAACUGACGGUGAGGCGCGAAAGCGUGGGGAGCAAACAGGAUUAGAUACCCUUGUAGUC